rnacentral:rRNA from 1 species
CACACGACUACGAGUUUGAUCAUGGCUCAGAACGAACGCUGGCGGCAGGCCUAACACAUGCAAGUCGAGCGCCCCGCAAGGGGAGCGGCGGACGGGUGAGUAACGCGUGGGAACGUGCCUCUUGCUACGGAAUAGCCUCGGGAAACUGGGAGUAAUACCGUAUGUGCCCUACGGGGGGAAAGAUUUAUCGGCAAGAGAUCGGCCCGCGUUGGAUUAGGUAGUUGGUGGGGUAAUGGCCUACCAAGCCGACGAUCCAUAGCUGGUUUGAGAGGAUGAUCAGCCACACUGGGACUGAGACACGGCCCAGACUCCUACGGGAGGCAGCAGUGGGGAAUCUUAGACAAUGGGCGCAAGCCUGAUCUAGCCAUGCCGCGUGAGCGAUGAAGGCCUUAGGGUUGUAAAGCUCUUUCAGUGGGGAAGAUAAUGACUGUACCCACAGAAGAAGCCCCGGCUAACUCCGUG